UUCAAACACCCUCUUGUCUCUCAUUUUCUCCAACUCAGAUUGAAGAAACCCCAACGCGGCCUUGAGUUGUAUGCCAUUAUAGCCCGCGGUGCCAUUUCCAAACAACAACCAUAUUUCAACCACAACACUCCCAUGACUUCCCCUCUAUAAAUUCACUAUCAAUAACCAUCGAAUCAUGAUAAAUCAGAUCCAAUAUUAGAAUUAAAAAAUGCAGAAAAAAUAACAAUCGAAAAUCUCAAUCUCUUCAAUCUUCAAUGGCCGGUUAGGGUCUAAAUUGUUGUUUCUCAUUGGUUUUUAACAAGAACCUGCGACGAACACAAAUUUCGGCUCGAAAUUGGAAUGACAAAGGUCAUCCACGCCAUGAUCUUUCAUGUUUUCUGUUAGGUACUCUCUUUUCUUUUUCUUUUGUCAUUCUUUUAUUUUUUUCUCACCUUCAUCUUUUUCUGUCCUCCUCUUUUCUUUUCCUUUUUGUUUGUUAACAGAUUUACAUGAUUUGAUUUUUAGCAAAUUUAUUUUGUUUAGUUUUGGUUCUUGUUUUUUAGUGUUAAUUAGUCCCUUUUUCUUUCUCUUUUAUUUUUGUUUCAUUUCAAAGGACUUCUGAUUUUUUCUUUUGGGUUGUUUCCGGUUUAACUUUUAUAAGUUGACUUGGGUUUUACAAUCAGAAGCCCAAAAAAUGGAUUCAACCUGGGUUUUACAUAUCCAUGAUAAUUUAACCUUGGGUUAACAUUAACCCAUUUGGAAAUCUUCCUAGAAAGUGGGGAUUGGGUCUGAUUUUUAAAAACUGAUUUUAAACUAAAGAUAAAGUAGCAAAAAUAAAAAUUCCAAAAGAAUCAAAGGGCAAUAAAUUGACCCAUUUCUAUUGCCCUAAGGCUUGCCCAUAAAGGCAUUGUAACCUCAUUCUCAAGUUAGAUUUUUGAAUAAUUACAACACUAAAAAGCUUUUUAAAAUGGCUAAGCUAAUAGAACUAAAAAAUUCUUGUAUUUUUGGUAGAAAUUGAUCCAAAAUUCUGUGACUAGUCUUUCAAUUUCGAAACAUUCAAAGGAUUUCUAGCUUAUUCUAGGAUUCAAGAUGGUUUAAAGGUUGUUUGAUCACUGUUCCAUUGCUGAUUUUUUGACUAGAUUCAGCUGUUGCUUCCCAUUUGUUGAAUUACUACUAUUGUUGCUUAAUAUCUUCAGGAUUUUUUGUUGUUUACUUGUUGUACCAAGGUACACAUCUCUGAUUGUGAAUAUGUAGGAUUGGCUCAUUUGGCUUGAAGAAAUGAAGAUCUCCUCAUAUACUCGAUGCUUUUCAUUUGUCUUUUAUUUUAAUUUGUUAAUUAAUUUUCCUGUUUAGCAUGCCAAAAAUGAUAUUAUGCUAUGAACAUUUGAGACUUAUGAUGAGGGUUGUAUUUGGACUCUCAUUUUUUUGUGGUAAUUUUAGUUUGUUUGAAAUCAUUUCUCCUGAAUGUGGAUAGUUGUAUUGUCAUGUAUGAGAUCCAUGUGAGAUAGUUAGUACUACUGUUAUGUCUUUUCUUUUGAAUCAGAUGUUGUAGUCUUAGUGCUAUCCGAUUUCAUUUUAUUUUUUUCACAAAUGACUAAGUAAUGAAUUUGGUCUGUUUCGAGUUCAUGUUGAAGGAUUUACCCUUCUCUUCUUGAAAUAUAUAGUUGUAACAAUUUGACUUA
rnacentral:lncRNA from 1 species